UGAGGAAUUUUCCACAAUGGGCGAAAGCCUGAUGGAGCGACGCCGCGUGUAUGAUGAAGUCUUUCGGGAUGUAAAGUACUGUCAGAGGGGACGAUAUUGACUGUACCCUCAAAGGAAGCCACGGCUAACUACGUGCCAGCAGCCGCGGUAAUACGUAGGUGGCUAGCGUUGUCCGGAAUUACUGGGCGUAAAGCGCGCGUAGGUGGCUUUGUAAGUCAGGUGUUAAAUUCUUCGGCUUAACCGGAGAUCGCAUUUGAUACUGCGAAGCUAGAGAGAUUCAAAGGAAAGCGGAACUUGCGGUGUAGCGGUGAAAUGCGUAGAUAUCGCAAGGAACACCAGUGGCGAAGGCGGCUUUCUGGGAAUUUUCUGACACUGAGGCGCGAAAGCUAGGGGAGCAAACGGG
rnacentral:rRNA from 1 species